AGUGAACGCUGGCGGCGUGCUUAACACAUGCAAGUCGAACGAGAACGGAUUAUAGCUUGCUAUAAUUGUCAGCUAAGUGGCGCACGGGUGAGUAAUGUAUAGAUAACCUGCCCUCUAGAAAGGAAUAACAGUUGGAAACGACUGCUAAUGCCCUAUAUGCCUUUAAUACAUAAGUAUGCAAGGGAAACGCUUUAGUGCUAGAGGAUGGGUCUGUAUGGUAUCAGUUAGUUGGUGAGGUAAUGGCUCACCAAGACAAUGACGCCUAACUGGUUUGAGAGGAUGAUCAGUCACACUGGAACUGAGACACGGUCCAGACUCCUACGGGAGGCAGCAGUGGGGAAUAUUGCACAAUGGACGAAAGUCUGAUGCAGCAACGCCGCGUGGAGGAUGACACAUUUCGGUGCGUAAACUCCUUUUAUAUAGGAAGAUAAUGACGGUACUAUAUGAAUAAGCACCGGCUAACUCCGUGCCAGCAGCCGCGGUAA
rnacentral:rRNA from 1 species